ACGCUGGCGGCGUGCCUAACACAUGCAAGUCGAACGAGAUGCGUAUCGGAAAGCUUCGGCCGGAAGAUACGUUAUCUAGUGGCGGACGGGUGAGUAACACGUGGGUAACCUGCCUUAUGGAGGGGGAUAACAGAGAGAAAUCACUGCUAAUACCGCAUAAGCACACAGUACCGCAUGGUACAGGGUGAAAAGAUUUAUCACCAUAAGAUGGACCCGCGUCUGAUUAGCCAGUUGGCAGGGUAAAAGCCUACCAAAGCAACGAUCAGUAGCCGAUCUGAGAGGAUGACCGGCCACAUUGGGACUGAGACACGGCCCAAACUCCUACGGGAGGCAGCAGUGGGGAAUAUUGCACAAUGGGGGAAACCCUGAUGCAGCGACGCCGCGUGAGUGAAGAAGUAUUUCGGUAUGUAAAGCUCUAUCAGCAGGGAAGAUAAUGACAGUACCUGACUAAGAAGCCCCGGCUAACUACGUGCCAGCAGCCGCGGUAAUACGUAGGGGGCAAGCGUUAUCCGGAUUUACUGGGUGUAAAGGGAGCGUAGACGGAAUGGCAAGUCUGAAGUGAAAUACCCGGGCUCAACCUGGGAACUGCUUUGGAAACUGUUGUUCUAGAGUGUUGGAGAGGUAAGUGGAAUUCCUGGUGUAGCGGUGAAAUGCGUAGAUAUCAGGAAGAACACCGGAGGCGAAGGCGGCUUACUGGACAAUAACUGACGUUGAGGCUCGAAAGCGUGGGGAUCAAACAGGAUUAGAUACCCUGGUAGUCCACGCUGUAAACGAUGAAUACUAGGUGUCGGGGUGCAAAGCAUCUCGGUGCCGUCGCUAACGCAAUAAGUAUUCCACCUGGGGAGUACGUUCGCAAGAAUGAAACUCAAAGGAAUUGACGGGGACCCGCACAAGCGGUGGAGCAUGUGGUUUAAUUCGAA
rnacentral:rRNA from 1 species